CCUCAUCAUCCGCAACAAAACCCCCUCCAUCGAUUUGAUGAUCGGCCACCGUGACUCCGGCGACUGCCGCCGCCGCCGUCUUCUCCGGCGAGCUUUGUUAUGAGAAAGGAGGCCAAUUUCGUGAAGCUCUCAACCUCCUCUUCCUGAAUCCAAGGCCCAAUCAUCAGUAAGAGCCAUGAGGUUCACUAGCAGAGAGGGGAAACACGACCAGACCAAAGGAUUGAAGCUCAGUCCCAUGACCAUGAGACUUGAGGUAGAAGGAGGAGGACAUGAACACUAUGAGUUUAAAAAGCUUUGUGUGAUUUCUGAUGGACUGGAAAAUUUCAUCUUUAAAACAAAUAAAAUCAGCUUCUGUACAAUCUUUUGAUAAUAGGUUGCCAUUGUAAUGGUUCAUGUUUUUCUUCUCUUUUUGAAAGUCAAAAGUGUACUUAGAGUACUGUCAUGUGGAUAAAAGCUUUGUUUUUCAAAUAUAAGGCAGAUUUGAAUUGAA